CUAGCGUUGCUCGGAAUCACUGGGCGUAAAGGGUGCGUAGGCGGGUCUUUAAGUCAGGGGUGAAAUCCUGGAGCUCAACUCCAGAACUGCCUUUGAUACUGAGGAUCUUGAGUACGGGAGAGGUGAGUGGAACUGCGAGUGUAGAGGUGAAAUUCGUAGAUAUUCGCAAGAACACCAGUGGCGAAGGCGGCUCACUGGCCCGAUACUGACGCUGAGGCACGAAAGCGUGGGGAGCAAACAGG
rnacentral:rRNA from 1 species